rnacentral:tRNA from 1 species
AUUUAAAUAGCUUAUAUUUAGAGCAUAAUAUUGAAGAUGUUAAGGAAGUUCUAAACUUUUAAAUA